GAAACUGACUCGGCCUGGUGUUGAGAGAACGCUCGCAAGCUACAUUAAAGUCCUACAUGAUGUCCUGCCAUGUACAUAUAAAGUUUACAGUAACCGUAUUUAAACAGAUCCAGCAGUUUAUCACCUGAAGCUCAGCGGCAGGAAUCUCCAGUAAAGAUCAGAUGAGUGUUGGAUUACAGUCGUUAUUAUAAUAUUUAUAUAAGAUUUAUAGGAAGGUUAUUUACAGCACCAGAGUCACCGGGAGAGGCCACGCCAUCACUGUGUACACCACUGAAGUCCCAACACAGAGUGAUGGAGAAGUGAUGAGGAGCUGAAGCGUUGAAGUUCGACACAGAACCCAUGGAGAGAAACCGUCUAAAGAGAAGUCAUGAGAAAUGCUCCGGAGCCGCAGGGGUGAUAACAUACAAAAGAAAAUAUUCCAUAAACCGAGCCCGAGCCGGACGCAGCAGAAAAGUGGCAGAAACCUUUGAACAUGAGGCAGGGGAAGGUGGUGUGUGUGCGGACGAGGAGCUGGAGCCCCUCAGCGUGGACGAUUAUCAGACGCUCCUGCAGCUCUUAAACAUUAACCUGCCUGCCGGAGCUUUAAACCCUGACGUCACCGAACGCUCGACACACCCUGACGUCAUCAGGGACUCGAAAGCAAUACUGCGAGAUCUGAGGAAAGCUACACUGACGGUAGUGGAUAAACCUCGUGUGUCUUGUGUGAAGGUUAAACAAACUCAUGACCUGAAGGAGAAAGGAAAUAUCACAGACAUCACACAGCUUUUAUUCUUUAAACCACGGAGAAGAGGCUCUGAGAGAACCUUAAAGGAGCGCUGGGAAACAAACGCUCCCAAAGCCGGUUGCAGGUUCCGGAUGAGGGAUGCGUUCACUGAGACGCCGAUGUCCACACCGGAAAAGUCGUCCGGUUCCACAGGACACGCAAAAGCAUGCUUUGGGAUUCCAGCAGAGAACCGAAACAACGAGACAGACUGCUUCAGAUUCUUCCUCCAAGAGAAAGGGCUUGAUAUAGAAGACGUGACCUACAAAAGGGAAUAUGUGGUGGAAUCUGGCUUCAUCUCUGGAAGGUUGGACUUUUUAUUAGACGUUAGAAAUCCACCUGAAAGCACUAACGUGUCGCAGAGUGAGAAAAUCAUAAUCGAGUGUAAAGGUACAAAAGGCAGUAUGGUGGGAGGCGUGUUCGCUUUACCACAAGGAGAAGGACAUCGGGUCGAACUCAACAAGUCACAUGACUAUUACUAUCAAACUCAGGCAUACCUGCACAUCCUGAAGAAGGAACUGAGUCCAGUCCCAGUGAGAGCUGUGAUUGUGGUGAAACUCGCUGCUGAAGAUAAAAACCCGAAGUUCUACUGGGGCGAGGUGAGCGAGGACACGGAGCGGAUCGAGAAACUGAACAAUUUCUGCCAGAAGGAGGCGCUGCCUCGAUUCCUCGCUGUCCUCAACCUCAUCUUUCAGAGAGUGGAGGGAGGAGAAAGAGCUGGAGUGAUGAAAAGAGACGAGAAGAUGGAGAGAGAUGAGAAGAUGGAGAGAGACGAGAAGAUGGAGAGAGAUGAGACGAUGGAGAGAGAGGGUGCUGGAGAAGUGAGAAGGGAGAAAAAGACAGAGGGAGACUGAAGAGAAAGACAUGGAAUCAGCACUUCAUCAUUUAUUGGAAAUUUUGUAUGAACUCUGAUUGAAGCUGAAAUGGUUCAGUGUUUGUUGUGUAGAAACACUGAACAGUGUGUGAUGUCGUGUGUAAUCACCAGCUACUAAGAUACUUUAAUAUACUGUAAUAUAAUGGACACACUAAUAUAACACAAAUACACACACACACACACACACACACACACACACACACACAAACAUUAAAUUAUGUAAGUAAGUAACACGUAGUUGUGUAAGGCGCAGUGUAAAUGCCCCACUCUACACCCAUCUAUUUAUUUAGUGUUAAACAUCUGUUAGUGGAACACAUCUGGCUGAGAUGUGACGAGGUGUUGGUGGUGUUGGAGUCAGAAUCAUCUCAAAACCCUGAUGUAGAGACAUUAGAGAGCGCAGGUACAACAUCCAACUAAUAAAUAAUUUUUAUUAAUAUAAAGUUAAAUAAAAGUUUACCACACACACACACACACACACACACACAUGCACUUUGGGUGUAGACAUCCUGAUGAUCACACAAAUGUAACCCAGCCCACAUCCAGUGCGUCGUCUCAAAGCUCAUAAUCGUCUCCUAAUCACUGCAGCAUUUCAAAUCUUUUUCUUCUUCCUUGUUUUUGUUUAAAUCUCUUUCCCGCUGUACACCGGCCGUGACCCUCGGAACCCUCAGGUUUCUUCAUUUUACUCAGCGUAGGUAAAGGACCCUGACGCCCAACAGAAAUAUUACAGCCGAAUUGUCUGUAAAGUCAGGAGAAGAAAAAGGUGCAGUGAUGGCAGAACAUAUCACACACACUGAUGAAAGUGAGGAGGAGCUGGAAACUUUCAAUGUGGAUGAUUAUGAAAAACUCCUGGAGAUAUUAAAGAUUAAACUCCCUAAAGGAGUUCUGACACCAGCAGCGAUCGCUCGGUCCACACACACAAAGGUCAUCGCAGAUGCAGAACUCAUCAAACAAGCUCUGAAAAGAUGCGAACUCAGAGUCGCUCCAAUUCCGCGUCUGGCCUGCGGGAAAAUUGAACAGGCCCUGCAACUACAAGAGGAAAAUGAAAUUCAAGCCAUCACAGAGAUGAUAUUUUUUAGAGAUGCUGAAGACUCAGAAAAUGAGACUCUAAAGCAGCGAUGGGAAAACUCCAGACAGCCUCGCAGUGGAUUCCGUAUAAGAAAGUCAUAUCAAGAGUCCUCUCCAGGAGAAGGAGGAGGAGCUUCUGGUUUUUGGUAUCUAAAUUAUGAUGAAAACCAAAGGAACAUAAUGGAGUCCUUUCAGUUUUACUUGGCACAAAAGGGGCUCACUGAAGAGGAUGUGAACUGCAAAAAGAAUGGAAAGCUGGACUUUGGAUUUUUCUCUGGAAAGCUAGACUUUCUAGUAGAAAUCAAAAGAUCUCCUGAUGACUCCAGACCCACUGAGAAGAUCAUCAUAAAAUGCAAAAGCACAGAAAGAAGCAUGGCAGCACGGAUCUUCACUCAGCCACAAGAGGGAUCUCAGGCUGAAUUCAACCCUUCCCAUCAACUCUACCUGCAGACUCAGGCCUACCUGUUCAUGCUGAAGGAGAAGGAGAGGGAGAUGAUUGAAGCAAACCGGGUUCCCGUCAGUGCGGUGAUGGUUAUAAAGGUCAAACCGGACAGUUUCUACUGGGGCGAGGUGAGCGACGACAUACGGAGGUUGGAGCAACUGAACAACUUCUGCAAAACUGAAGCACUGCCUCGAUUCCUGGCUGUUCUUCACCUCAUCUUUGAGAAAGAGUGAGCUAGACCUAACCUGUGGCCUCAUGAUUAGACAAAACUAUAAUUGUUUUGUGAGCUUGUAGAUCUUUUUCUUUUUCCAUUCAUCACCCCCUGUAACCACACUUUAGUACCUUUUUUUUUUUUUUUUUUUUGCAAGUACCUUCUGGGGUAGUUAGAGCCUCAGGAUGAAUUAAGCUUCUCUAUACACUUCUGCAUAAAGUUUAACCUAAACAUCUUUAUAAAAUGUUUCUUUUCUAUUGCUGUUAUCAUUAAAUCAUGUGUUAAUGCCAUGUCAGUGUUUGGUUUCUCUUUUUUUACUCCAUCGUCUGUAUGACCUGACAGUAUA